AGCGAACGUUAGCGGCGGGCCUAACACAUGCAAGUCGAACGCGAAAGGUCUUCGGACUGAGUAGAGUGGCGCACGGGUGAGUAACACGUAGGUAAUCUACCCUUUGGCGGGGGAUAACGUUCCGAAAGGAGCGCUAAUACCGCAUAAGACCACGGAGUCUCCGGACGCUGUGGGAAAAGGUGGCCUCUUCUUGAAAGCUAUCACCGAAGGAUGAGCCUGCGUCCCAUCAGCUAGUUGGUAAGGUAAUGGCUUGCCAAGGCGAAGACGGGUAGCUGGUUUGAGAGAAUGAUCAGCCACACUGGCACUGGAACACGGGCCAGACUCCUACGGGAGCAGCAGUGAGGAAUAUUGGGCAAUGGGCAAAGCCUGACCCAGCCACGCCGCGUGAGUGAUGAAGGCCCUCGGGUCGUAAAGCUCUGUGGAGAGGGACGAAAACCCUGGUUUCAAAUAGGCUCCA
rnacentral:rRNA from 1 species